UGUUGGACGCAACAUUGGGAGUGACUGAAUAAACUUACUGGCAUAUAGCUGGUUAAGGUGAUACAACACAGGUGGUGCUGCUGCGAAAGCAGAAUCGACUUACCAGUCGGGUUGUAGGCAGAGAUGAUUUUCUAACUGUAGAAAUGCCCAUCUCUUGUUGGUACACAGGAAUCCAACCUCCCACCUC
rnacentral:ncRNA from 1 species